rnacentral:lncRNA from 1 species
AUUUUUAGCUCAUCAGCUAUCAUUAGUGUUAGUGUAUUUUAUGUGUGGUCCAAGACAAUUUUUCUUCUUCCAGCGUGGCCCAGGGAAGACAAAAGAUGAGACACCCCUGCUUUGAAACAACCUCAUGAGGUGUGAGGUCCAGACAGGGGACUUCAUCUCUCUGAGCUGCCAUCUUCUCUCUAUAAAGUUAAGUCAACCAUAGAAUGCCCCUCCCAGAGGUGUGGGGAGGAUUCGAUGAGACAAUCCACAGGGCUGGCUAUCACGACUUCAUCCCCCUUUAUUUUAUGUGACACCUCUCUAAGCCUCAGUUUCCCCAUCUGUUAAAUGUGGUGGACGACCUCUACUCUGCCUCCCCCCCAGGGCUGGCAUGAGUUUCCACAGGGAGGAGGCUGAGAGGCCCCCUUUGUGGGAGUGGCAGCAUUUGGUUACUGCAGUUCAUGUUUCCAGCAGGAGCCUCAAAGUGUCUAAACACAGACUAUUUUUAGCACCAGAAUGAGGCUCUGGUGUUGAGCUGCCAACUUGAAGAUGGGUGGGGAAGAGCUGCCUGCAGGGGAAAGAAAAACAGAGGCAUAGCCUGCCCUGUGGUUCCUUACCUCCCCUGGGAGUAAAAUUAUGCCUCCCCCUUCCAGGUUCUAUUGGCUAGGGUAGGCCAGAAUGGAAGCCUGUGAGGCUGGGUAGGGGGCUGACUCCCUCUCUGUAAUCCCCAGCACCUGACUUGGGGGGCAGAGGCAGUUCGGAGGGACUGGGCAGGCCCAGCGACCAACUGACCCCCAGACCACCCAAGCUUCACCGAGAAAUAGCUAUUGAGAAAUCAGGUUCAUGAAGGUUUGAUUUCUUAAGAGUUCUGGGUAGGAGACCCAUCUGGGAAGUUUCCAAGAAACUGGGGAGCCCAGGUAAAAUUUCAGUCUUGUUCUAAUAAUAAAAAUAUCAGAAGUCACUGGUGUUUGUUGAGCGCAUACUAUAUGCCAGUCAUCUUAUUCCCAUUGUGCCUUUUAAUCCCCACUAUCAUUCUUUGAGGUGGUCAUUAACUUCUUUGAACAUCAGUUUCCCCAUCUAUAGAGUGAUGAUGUAAUAUAAUUUAUCUCUUAGGGUUAGCGUGAGAACUAAAUAAGUCAAUAUAUACAAAUAUAUCAUAUCUAUAUGUAUUAGGUGCAAAUGCUACAUCUUAUAAUAAUUUCUGGAGAAUACAUGUGGUUUUGCCUGUUCAGUGCCCCUUCAUUCUGAUACAAGGACUCUAUUUUCCUUCACGGAAUUUCUCCCUCAUUAAUUCUCAGCUCAUGUGGCUUGGAUAGAAUGGAUUCCUCUUGCCAGUUGCUGCAGACAUUCCUAUACCUCCCUCCUGAUGCAUGUAUAUAAUAAUUAAUGUAGAGUGCAUGUAUACCUAGGAGUGAAAGCGCUAGUUUUUGUCUGUUUGUUUUUGUUUUUGUAUGAGCAUCUUAUGAUUAUCCUAAAAGAUGCCAGUUUUUUUCCAAGGUUGCUGUAGUCACAACUUCCCCAGUACAGUUUGAGCAUUCCUGCUGCUCCAAAUCCACACCAACACUUAAUGUUGUCAGUCCUUUCCUUUUUGGUCAGUUUGGUAGAUCUGUAACAGAUGCCAUAUGUGCCCCACCCACAGAGUUAAAUUCUGAAUGUUCAUCUGGUUGUCUGAGGGGUUUCUCCAGCACCUUGAAUGCUUUUUGUGCUUGUGUGGUUGGCAGGCAAGACAUGCUAGAAUAUUAACAUUUGGAAGCAGCUGCAAAUAUGACUGAUGGGAGUUGGUGUAUAAAUGCCCCAGCUCCCUUGCUCCUCAGCUGGAAUAACUCUGCAGUGUGUAUUUCUCCAGUGGGACUUAGCCUCAACCACCCUCUGUAACAGAUGACUCAAUAAUACACCCUUUAUUGAUUUCUUCCCUUCCCUGUCUCACUUCCCCGCUCAGGGAAGGACAGGAGUAAGUAUACUCUUUAUUUCCUAAAUGAACUACUUAUCAGUGGUAUUCAUUUCUUGGAAUAGUUGAUUCCUUAGAAUAGGAAUCAAUAUGGUUGAUUCAUAUCAUAUCAAUGGUUUUUCAACCUUUUCCUUAUCAUAGACAUGUAAAAUAUUUCCAGUCUUCCCUCUUUUAUAAAUAAGUAACGCUAUGAUAAACAUCCUGUAUGUAAAUCUUUAUACAGAUCCCCGGAAAGCAAUAUAGGACCUUUCAACAAUGAUGAGACAUCGGCAUAUUAUACCCACUUUACAGAUGAGAAAGCUAAAGUUCACAGAGAUUAAGUAACUUGCCCAGACACACAAAAAGUGGAGCAUGAAUUCAAGUGCAAAACUGAGCCUCAGUGUCAUGAUGCCAUGGCGGACACUAUGCAGACCAGCAAGGCAGCUAUUCCCUGUCUUAACCACUAAUCCCUCAGUUGAAUCCAAGCCUUGAUGAAAGGAACCUUUCUGAGCCUGAAGAUAUGGAUGGCCAUGCCUCGAACACUUCUCAGGUAGAUAACCCCCAAUUCCUUUAAUCAAAGUUCUUUCUCACCCUUCUUGGUGGUGGACCAGCCAUUUGGCAAGUGAAAGACUUAAUGAAACAGCUUGAGAAGAAAUGCCAUUAUAAAUGCCAAAUCCUUUCCCUCAUUGUCUUAGGAAUCCAGAAUUUUAGUAACCCAGCUAACCCUAGGGAAGGCUUUUGCACCCCGUACAGUGGGUGGACCCUCUCUGGGACACACCCUUCCAUUCAUUGGUGUGCUGUAGUUUAAUGAUUCCAUCGUGCUCAUGAUGGAUAUAUUGUGGUUCUGCAGAUCUUUGAUGCAACAAUUCUGCAGAAUCUUUGACACAACAAUCCCACUUUUUUGACCAGGAAGCAUGUACACACCAGGAAAGCUUCACCAGGUUCCUAGGCACACCCGUAUGUUGCCCCCUACACUUGCUCACCCCACCUCCAGAAAGAAUCCCCUGGGUCCCCACACUUCCCUCUGUUCCCAGGAAGGAAACUCACUCAGCACUACCCUACGCUCACAGCCUGCCAACCAUGUCCAUUUUCAUUUAUCUUCCCCAAAACUCAAGAAAAUAAAUGAGAAGGCAAAGUGCCAUUAGCUUAAUGGCCUUUAACACCCAGCCAUCUGCCAUGAUGUAAUUAAAUAAAAAAAUCAGAGGGAGCAUAUGGUGUCCGUUAUAAAUAAAUAUUAAAAUUUUGUUUAUCUGGGUAAUGACUCUAGUGCCUCUUGCUCCAUGGGCAAUCUUUACAGCCAUCUUCGCUUGUUGCAGGGUCAGGGUGGGCCACUAUGGACAGGAAUGGCCACGGAGAGGAAACGUGGAAAGGGGUCAGGGCCAGAGUCACACACUCCUGCAUCUGAACCUGCCUCAGGGCGGUGGUGGCUGUGUGAUCUUCAGCAAGGGGCCUCUCUGUGACUCAGUUUUCUCACCUGCAAAAUAGAGCCAAUCCACCCUGCCUCAUUGGAAAGCAAGUGACAGAGCUACAAGAAAGCCUGGAGAUCCAACACCUAGCGAAACAGCCUUCCUUUACAUAAGGGGAAACUGAGGCUUGGAGAAACUUGAAUGAAAUAACCUCUGUCCAUAUAAAAUGUCUCGCAUAGACCUGGACCCAAAUGAGGAACCCGGGGGCUCAGAGAGGCUGGAGGAGUGGUCCAGAGUCACACAGCCAGGCCAGGGCUGAGCUGGUUCCUGCCCUGCAGGUUUCUUCCCAGAGCACACGCUGCUCCCUGGCAGCCCCCAUUGCUCCCAGCCGCAAACACGAGCAAAUUGCCAUUUGCUGGUUCCACACUGACCACGGUGGAUUGAACUCUAAUUUAGGAACGGUGACAGCACCUAUUAGCAACCCUUCCCCAAAGAGGAACUUUCCACCAGGAGUGAAAAAUAACUGCCAUCCCCACCCCCAAAUCACCCAAGCCCAAUCUUUCUGUCCAAGGCAGUGUGUGUGUGUUUGGGGGGUGGUGGUGGAGAGGUGGUCUCUGUGCUCCCCAGCCCACCUCUACAGGUUCAAAUUCUCUUCCCCUGUCCCGGAGAACCUUGUGCCCUUGGAGGGGUUGCCAGCACCUACUGCCAGCUCUGAGCAGGACUGAGAGGUGGGCUCACAGCCAUCAAAGCAGGAGGGAGGACUGUUCAUAACCUCCAGGUCAGCUUCCUCACAGACAUAUGGGGUAACUGAGGCCUAAAGGGGAGGUGGAGGGUGACUCUACCCAGACCCAGUUUUCCUGCAUCCCAGCCUUCAGCCUUGGCACCCUCCUGAGAAAGAAGAAAAAUGGAUAAACACCUUUUGUUGCACAAUUACUAUGUGCCAGGCCCUUCCAUGUACCCUGUGCCAUUGCCUCUCCCCAGGGGCUCUGCUUGGUAGGUUGGGUUUAAUCUCACUUUACAGAUGAGACAACCAAGGCCUGGAGAGGUCAGUCAACUUGCCAAAGGGCAGAGCUGGUGAGUGGCAGAACAAGACUCAACCCAGGCCUGUCUGACUCCAGACCCUUAAUCCUAACCUCUAUGUGACAUUGUUUUCUGUGGAAGUGCCACCCUCUGACCUCUGACCUCGGGGCCUCCUCUCUGUGGGGCAAGUGGAGUGAUUUGGAGGCUUUCUGUACAAGACAGCCUUUCUCCUCUGAAUGCUCAGAGCCCGCUCAGAAGGCACAGGGGUUCCCAAGCCUUUAGUGGCCCAAGGAGUUCUGCUGGCAUCCAACAGAGAGAUGUCCCUUCAUAUGCAAGCAACAAGUGCCAGAAACUGACUGACCAUUCUAUCCAUGAAGACAUCACUUGGACACCAUCGUACCACAGAGAAGGUGCCAGGAGGCCACACAGAGGUGCAGAGAUUCAUGCAUGCUGAACAUGUGCACAGCCCCAUGGCUGUCAUCCCCCUCACCCCCAGCACAUACACAGAGUUAACCAGCCCUAUCAGGCCAUACCCAUUUAUAACACAUGGCAGGAAUCCUUAUUCCCACUUCAUGAGUGAGAAACAGCAGACACCAUGGGACCUGCCUGAGAUACAUGGUUAGUCUUGGAGCUAAAACUAGAAACUGGAUCUUCUCAUUUUGACCAAAGGUGGUUUCUUCAUCCCCUGGAAUUGUCAAAAGAAUAAAGAAGCACCUGUCUUGAAAAGUCACGACCAGAGUUUCUCAUCAUCAGUGACACUGGCACUUUGGACUGGAUAAUUUGUUGAGGAGAGCUGUUCUGUGCAUUGUAGGGUGGUUGAUAGCAUCCCUGGCCUGCACCUAAUGGAAGAGAGAACCAGAACACUGCCUGUGGACCCAUCUGAAUCCAGGCUUACAAAGUUUUGGUGCCAGAUUCUAGAGCUCCUUUCUAAGAUUUUUAUCCUAGCUCUCCAUCAUAAGAUCCUAUUGUGAGGUUCCACGCUAGGAUCCCCAACUUCUAGCACUCUAUGCUGGGAUACUAGGGUCCGUUCUGUGCAAGGAAAAAAAAAAACUAUAUUAAAAGGAGGAAAAAGUUAUGCUGGAAGCUAAGUCAGGCAAGAAACUGCCUCUCCUUUUGUUCUUAAGCAGAUAGCUACAGAUAAAAGGUGAAAUAUCUCCACAGGUAGCUACUUGAUGUUCACCUUAUCUUAUGUAAAGUGCUGAUUUACUGAGAGGGAAACAAAUAACGUAAUUGACUACUCCUCUACCUGCUCCUUUUCUCUUGCAACCUGUGGGUUUAGUAACGUGACCAUACCUUCUUUCCCCUCCAGCUUGCUUUUCUCCUUUAAAUACUGAAGCCCUCAAAGUCAUCUCUGGAGAAAUGCACAGACCUCUCUCCUGGGCAUAUCCUUAACCUUGGCAAAAUGAACUUCUAAACUGAUUGAGACCUGUCUCAGAUAGUUUUUGGUUUAGUUUCAAUGUUGGUGGGCUCUCCAAUUGUGAAAUUUUUUUCUAAGCUCCUAAGAUCUCAUCUCCCAUGUCAAAGUUGAAAUUCUCUCCGGGAGACAGUCAUGCCUCGCUGCCUUCCAGUGACCAGGAUGAAAGAUGCACCCAUGAAUUAUAUAUUUCAAGUCAUCUCUAAAUUGCCUGGCAAUUACAGAACAGCAAGGUCAGCUGCCGGGAGCAAGAAUCUCCCUUUUGGCAGAGAAAAACAGAUGGAUGGAAACACAACGAUAUACAGAAAGAUGUUACCUCUUGGAGGGGGGGUGUUUUUCAGAUGCUGGUCACCAUAGAUGCUGGUCACCACCAUGCCCUUUCAUAAGUGUCCUUACAAAAGGAGGAAAUCAGGACAGAUACAUCCAGAGGGAAGACGCUAUGAAGACACAGAGAAGAGGGCCAUCUAUGCCAAGGAGAGGGGUAGGAAGCAAAUUCUUCCCACACACACCUCGGAGGAACCAACCCUGCUGACACCUUAAUUUUGGACUUCCAGCUUCCAGAACUGUGAGAUAAUAAAUUUUAGUUGUUUAAGCUACUCAGCAUGUGGUGUUUUGUUACAGCAACCCUAGCAAACUGAUACACCAGUGCUCUGCAUAGGACCUCAACAUUUCCUUUUCCUUUUUUUUUAAUGAGAGAGAAUUCAUAUGUGGCAUGGUAAAAACAAGUGCGCAGGAAUUUCACAUAUGUACACACCCAGGUGACCCACCCAGAUCAAGACUCUGAACAUUCCCCUGGCUCCUAGAGGCUCUCCACUGUCCCCUCUCAGCGAAUCACCCUCCCCAGGGGCCAUCACUUUUCUAACUUCUAUCACCAUAGGUUAGCUUUGUACAUUCUUGAGCCUCUUAUUAUUAUUUUAGAAAUGGGGCCUCACUAUUUGCCCAGGCUGGUCUUGAACUCCUGAGCUCAAGUGUGAUCCUCCCAUCCCAGCAUCCCAAAGUGCUGAGAUUACAGGUGUGAGCCACCACGCCCAGCUGUUGAGCCUCAUAAAUGGCUGAACAAUGUUGAACAAAGGAAGCUGGCCCCUUACAUUUAAACUCAUUUGUGCCAUAUAAAAACCCCUUGAGACAGGCACUAUAAUUAUCUUCAUUUUACAGGUGUAGAAUCAGAGGCCCAGAGAGCUUCAGUAACUUGUUCAAGGUCACACAGCUAGGGUGUAGGAGGCAGAGCCAGGAUUUGACUGGGUAAGUCUGGCUGCACUCACUAUACUUACUGCUUUUAAAUACACAGCAAGUGCCCAGUAACUAUAAUCACGGCGACUUCUAACAAGCAGGGGCUCUCACUCUGGGCCAGGCACCAUGCCAGCUCUCUCCACAUUACUUCAUCUAACUCGCACACCAGUCCUAUUUAGUAUUUUUAAAAUAUAUCUAUAUAAAAUAAUACACAUAAUAUAUAUUACACAUAUAUACAUACUAAAUUUUCUAUACCUCAUAAUAUUACCAGUGAGAAACACUAAUACAAGCCCCAUUUAACAGAGGAGUAAACUGAGGCUCAGAGCAUUGAAUAAUGGAUGCAAGGUCAUAGACUCAGCAAGAGGCAGAGCUGGGAUGGCUUGCAGAACUCGUGCUUAUAACUACUGACAUCAGCUGCCUCCUGCCAGCUGCUGCUAAGAGCAGCACCAGGACCACAGAACUCAACAACCUGUGCUUUAAUUAAAAUCACAAUGAGAUGCCACCACACACCUGAUUUUUUCCAGUCACUUCUAAUCGCUUUCACGUGGGCUGUUCUAAUCGUCUAGACAGGAGGUUUUUAAAUUCCAGUACACACACAUUGUACUGGAAUGGCUCAAAUAAAAAAAAACAAAAACAAAAAACAAAAACUAAUCCCAAGUGCUGGAGAGGAUGUGGAGCAACUGGAACUCCCAUCCAUCCAUGGUAGGAAUGUGAAAAGGUAUACUGCCACUUUGGAAAACAGUUUGACCAUUUCUUAAAAAGUUAAAUGUCCACUCCUAGGUAUUUGCCCAAGAGAAAUGAAAACCCAUGCUCAGGCAAAAAUCUGCAUGCAAAUAUUUAUAGCAACUUUAUUUGUAAUUGCCAAAAAUGAAAGCAAACAAAUGGUGAAUGAACAAACUGUGGUGCCUCCAUACAACGGAGUACUACUCAGCCAUGAAAAGGAAUCAGCUACUGAUGACACAACAGCACUGAUAAACCUCAAAGGCAUCAUGCAUUAUGCCGAGUGAAAGAAGCCAGACUCAAAGGCUAUUAUGAUUCCAUUUAUAUGACACUCUGGUAAUGGCAGAAAAGAAAGACAACACAAAACAGAUAGUGGUUGUCAGGGGCGAGAGAUGAAAGAGGGAUUGACCACAGAGGGGCAAAGAGGAAUUGAGGGUGAUGGAACAUUUGUUCAUCUUGAUUGCAGUAGAGGUUAUAUGGUUGUACACAUUUGUCAAAACUUGCCAAACUGUACACUAAAAUGGGUGCAUUUUACUGUAGGUAAACGAUACUCAAUACAAAACAUUAAAGAAAAUAUAACAAUAGGCCGGGCGUGGUGGCUCGCGCCUGUAAUCCCAGCACUUUGGGAGG